rnacentral:rRNA from 1 species
GAUGAACGCUGGCGGCGUGCCUAAUACAUGCAAGUCGAGCGAACAGACGAGGAGCUUGCUCCUCCGACGUUAGCGGCGGACGGGUGAGUAACACGUGGAUAACCUACCUAUAAGACUGGGAUAACUUCGGGAAACCGGAGCUAAUACCGGAUAAUAUAUUGAACCGCAUGGUUCAAUAGUGAAAGACGGUUUUGCUGUCACUUAUAGAUGGAUCCGCGCCGCAUUAGCUAGUUGGUAAGGUAACGGCUUACCAAGGCGACGAUGCGUAGCCGACCUGAGAGGGUGAUCGGCCACACUGGAACUGAGACACGGUCCAGACUCCUACGGGAGGCAGCAGUAGGGAAUCUUCCGCAAUGGGCGAAAGCCUGACGGAGCAACGCCGCGUGAGUGAUGAAGGUCUUCGGAUCGUAAAACUCUGUUAUUAGGGAAGAACAAAUGUGUAAGUAACUAUGCACGUCUUGGCGGUACCUAAUCAGAAAGCCACGGCUAACUACGUG